UGUUAUGGAGAAAUUUAUGUACGUGCUUGUGGGCCCAAAUUGAUAAGCUCCUCUGCUUAUGAAUUUGAGCUUAUCAAAUUGAAAUUUGAGAAAUACCGAAAACGACCGACGGUAGAAGGGAACGCAAAACCACCGAAAACGGAAAAGCUGAAGAAAAUCAACCGCAAUCGAAAUGCUUCUUUCAUCUUCCCUCUUCAAUCCCCUGCACCUUAGGGUUUUUAUCUGAAUUCGAUUUCCUCUUCAACAUCUUCAAAUAUGUUUCUUUUGAUUCAGCUUCAGGAAUAUCCUGAAGCUGCAAAGUUCAAAGACCAAGGAAUUAGAAAUUUACUUGAGAUGGAGAUCCUAUUUAAGGAUACUUUGGCCUCUGGCCAUGGUAAAUGGGCACUAUCUCAGGUAAAUGACUUAGAAAAGGGGAUUUAAAUAAUUAGUGAAGAUUGUGAUGAACCUGAUGUUGAGGAGUUAGCUGGGAAAAGGGAGGUGUCGAAUUCUUCAAUUCAAAGGACAAAAAGGAGAAGGGGUGGGAAUGAUAACAAGAAAGGUGGUAUUGGCUCAUGAAUGUGUGACCAAUUUCCAUAUGCAGUUAUGCAUCAUAAAAAACUAAAGAUUACCUUUUUAAAAAUAAUAAUGAAGAUCUUUAUAUCUUUUCUUUUGCUGCUGAAGAAACUUUUUCUUGUGUUGUGACUCAAGCGGUUUUCAUGGCAAACUAGCUUAUCAGGAAAUCAGUUCGCCAUGCAUAAUAUUUAUCACAUUCUAUCCAAAGUUUCAAGAAUAUAGAAUAUGAAUGUUCCUGAAUUAAUGUC